AGAGUUUGAUCCUGGCUCAGGAUGAACGCUGGCGGCGUGCCUAACACAUGCAAGUCGAACGGGGUUUACACGCUGAUGAAGCUUCGGCAGAAUCUUGUGUAAACUUAGUGGCGGACGGGUGAGUAACGCGUGGGUAACCUGCCUCAUACAGGGGGAUAGCAGUUGGAAACGACUGGUAAUACCGCAUAAGCGCACAGUACCGCAUGGUACAGUGUGAAAAACUCCGGUGGUAUGAGAUGGACCCGCGUCCGAUUAGCCAGUUGGCGGGGUAACGGCCCACCAAAGCGACGAUCGGUAGCCGGCCUGAGAGGGCGGACGGCCACAUUGGGACUGAGACACGGCCCAGACUCCUACGGGAGGCAGCAGUGGGGGAUAUUGCACAAUGGGGGAAACCCUGAUGCAGCGACGCCGCGUGGGUGAAGAAGUAUUUCGGUAUGUAAAGCCCUAUCAGCAGGGACGAUAAUGACGGUACCUGAGUAAGAAGCCCCGGCUAACUACGUGCCAGCAGCCGCGGU
rnacentral:rRNA from 1 species